CAGUAGCCGCGGUAAUACGUAGGUCCCGAGCGUUGUCCGGAUUUAUUGGGCGUAAAGGGAGCGCAGGCGGUUUAGUAAGUCUGAAGUUAAAGGCAUUGGCUCAACCAAUGUAUGCUUUGGAAACUGUUAGACUUGAGUGCAGAAGGGGAGAGUGGAAUUCCAUGUGUAGCGGUGAAAUGCGUAGAUAUAUGGAGGAACACCGGUGGCGAAAGCGGCUCUCUGGUCUGUCACUGACGCUGAGGCUCGAAAGCGUGGGUAGCGAACAGGAUUAGAUACCCCUGUAGUCCCUGUCCUUAUACAC
rnacentral:rRNA from 1 species